GGACCGAUAGCUCAACGGUAGAGCAGUUGCCUUUUAAGCAAUUGGUUCGGGGUUCGAAUCCCCGUCGGUCUA
rfam:Verrucomicrobia bacterium CAG:312_58_20 Ley3_66761_scaffold_568, whole genome shotgun sequence.